AGAGUUUGAUCUGGCUCAGAUUGAACGCUGGCGGCAUGCCUUACACAUGCAAGACGAACGGUAACGCGGACUUCGGUCUGGCGACGAGUGGCGAACGGGUGAGUAAUGUAUCGGAACGUGCCCUGGAGUGGGGGAUAGCUCGGCGAAAGCCGGAUUAAUACCGCAUACGAUCUAAGGAUGAAAGUGGGGGAUCGCAAGACCUCAUGCUCCUGGAGCGGCCGAUAUCUGAUUAGCUAGUUGGUAGGGUAAAAGCCUACCAAGGCUACGAUCAGUAGCUGGUCUGAGAGGACGACCAGCCACACUGGGACUGAGACACGGCCCAGACUCCUACGGGAGGCAGCAGUGGGGAAUUUUGGACAAUGGGCGAAAGCCUGAUCCAGCAAUGCCGCGUGUGUGAAGAAGGCCUUCGGGUUGUAAAGCACUUUUGUCCGGAAAGAAAUCCCUUGGGCUAAUAUCCCAGGGGGAUGACGGUACCGGAAGAAUAAGCACCGGCUAACUACGUGCCAG
rnacentral:rRNA from 1 species